GCUUUCUUGGCUCAGUCGGUAGAGCGUAGGUCUCAUAAUCCUAAGGUCGUGAGUUCGAUUCUCACAGAAAGCA